rnacentral:misc_RNA from 1 species
UCUAGUUUAGAGAUAUGUUUAAUGGCUUAAUGCUAGUGCAUGUAUUUGUGCGUUGACUUCAAAUUGAGAUUCAUUUGGGUGCUCUGUUUCAAGUUUUUAUUUUUUUUUUCAAAACUUGAUUCUAGCUUGCCAUAUGCCACACGUUAACGAAUAUUUGAGAGUUCUUGUCAUCCCAUUUCCUCUCUUCCCUCCUGUUCUUAGGUUAAUUUUUAAUUAUAUCAAACCAUAAAUAAAAAAUUUGUUACAAAAUUUGUUAAUAUAUAUGAACAAAUAGUCAAUUUAACCUUAAAGUUGACACAUGCUUAAUUAUAUCAUAGACUUAAUUUUUAUUUCCAUAUUAAAGUAAUAAAUUUUUUAAAGUGAGAGAGUUUAAGGUGAACAUACUGUCAACCUUGGGCGAUUAUAAUGGAAUUUAAAAAUUG